GCACCUUGCCAGGGACCCCCCACUGAACUCAGCUCCAGCCCGGCUGGCCCGUGUGACCCUGCUGGGGGCUCCUGUUGGUGCCGGAGAACUUGUCCGUGUCACUCCCCCCCACAGCCGCCCAUUCGUUGGGCGCUGAGAGGCACUGAGUUUGCUACGGUCCUAAAUGAUUUCUCAAUUUGGAAUGAAUUAGUCCAAAGGAAGAGCUGACAGUAGUAUCUAGUCCAGAAGACUGACCUGGAAUUGUUGUUCCUCCUCACAACCCACACAGCAUAUAACGAUUAAUUUCUACUGGGUGAUCCAUUCAGCAUCCCACAGAAUUAGAAAUACUGCAGCAUGGGAGGCAGAGAACCCUAAUAUGCAUAUUUUCUCCUUACUGAUCAGCUCUUGCAACCACAAAGCUCUGGGUUUUGCAGUAGAAAAACCUUUGCUACAGAAUGCCUCUUGCUAAGGAACAGAAAGAUCUAUGGAACCAAAAGUGAUGAUAGAAGCUUCUGGAUUAGAAUGUUCACUUUAUACAAUAUGUGAUCCAUUACUCCUAAGGAAAUUCUCUGCAAUAUUUUAAAAUUCUGCCAAAACAACAUACUAUAAUUAUGCCAUUUUCAAUUAUUUUGGUAAUUUAUUUCACUAUAGCUGUCAGCAAGUAUGUCUGUAAUAAUACAGACACCAAACAAGAUCCAGGAAAUGUCUUCUGACAAAUAGAUUCCUUACUAGGCAUAUCUAUGGCUCUACAGAGCAGAUGGCAUUACUAAUAUUUCCAUAUACGUCAGACACAGAAGACUUUAAGGGUAUGUCUACUCAGCAAAGAAAACCCCACAGCUGACCUGUGCCAGCCAACUGGAUGCUCAGGCUGUGGGGCUGUUUUGCUGCUGUGCAGACUUCCAGCCUCAGAUUGGAGCCAAUGCUCUGGGACCCUCCCACCCCGCACAAUCCUAGACUCUAGCCAUCACUGUAAAUCAGUGUGUGGGGCUUGGUGGGGUGGGUGUCAGGAUCCAGGGAGCGGGGCAGCUCCCCAGACAGUGACCCCUCCAACCCCAGCUUUGGAGCAAUGAGGGGAGGAAGUGGUGAGUGAAAGGGAAGAGUGUGCAGAGCUUCCUGAAGGCAGGGGAAGAGGAAGUCCUGUCCCAAUCCAGACUAGCAGCUGGAGCCCUGCACAGGCUAGGCGCCACCAGCCAGGGCAUCCCCAACCCUGCCUCUCCCCAGCACCAGGGUAGUGGGCAAGAGGGACAGUGUCUUGCAAGCAUGCCCAGUCCUGCCCCCUGAGGCAGUGAUUUACAUCUCCCCUGGCAGCUCCUGACAUACCCACUUGGGACCACUGCCUGGGAGGGCACAUAAAUCAAUUAUUCUGCAGGGAAAGAGAAAUCUCCAGGGGACAUUAGUCUGCACUUGCACAGUGAUGCAGAAUUCCCCCAGGAGUAAUACAUAUUAUGUACACAGGAAACUUCACAUGUACAAACCAUGUUAAAGAAAUUUUGAAAACUCACUUGAGCACCUUCAUUUGUGAGCUUAAUGUUUUCAGCUGCAGCAGGAACACUGAUUGUAGCCCUAACGAGAAUAUCUAAGUAGUUCAGCUUAGAAUAUUCCUGUUUCAAAAUAUAAUAAGGAUACAUUAGAAGAGAAAAGACAGAGUGUGCAAAUGCCUCAAGAAUAACAAUAGAACAUACCUCUAGGAAAGUACUGUUCCACAAUCUUGAACGCAAUACAACCAUUGCCCUUCUGUCCAAGCCUUGCAAGGGACAUUUUAUAUUCACACAGCGUGCACUCUCAUUACAGUCCUGUAAUUUAAAUAAAUAUACAUAUAGACACACUUCAAAAGUCACAUUUUACAGAAAAAUAUUUGCUACAACUAUUUUAACCCGUCUUGUAAUUUUUCAAAGAAACAGGAGGAUGUAUGUCUUAAGUAGACUUAAAGGUGUGGUCCCUUUAGAAGGACCAAUCCUUGGCUUGCUGAAAUCAAUGGCAAAACUGUUAUUAAUUUCAACGAUAAGAUUGGUUGACAGUAUGCAUCCUAAUAUCUGUUAAAAUGUAGGAAUCAGUCUGUGAAUGAUUUUUUACUUUGUUCUUAUUAAUUAUCCUGCUCCCUGUUAAAGUCCAUUUCUGAAAGCUAAAUGCUUACCUAGAUACAUUGCUAAUUAAAUCUAGAGAGAUGUACUCAAUUGUUCUUUUACAGCAGUCUGGAAAUUAUCCCAAUAUACCAGAUUUAGGAGAGAAUAAUAUUAAAAAACAAGUUAUAAAAGUCAAACAGAAUAUCUAUACAACAAAAUGCCUUCCUUCACUUGGCUAAACCUAAAAAGGUUCUGUAGGAGUGAAGGGAAGGUAAAGAGAUUGAAGAGAAAUUGUUGUUUUGCUAUGGAAAUGCUUACCAGGGUCUUAUAUUUUCUUUCUGAAAAUAUAGACUUUUUUUUGCCAUCAUUAGUCUGCUUCUCUGCAACUUCACGUUUCCUUCUUGACCUGUGGGACUCCUUUAAAACAAAGAAUUAUAGGUUGAUACACUAUAUGAAAUGGAUUAUUAGGCAGAAUAGAAAUGUGGAAAAGACUUUGAAUAUUGGGUAUUUAAAUAUUUAGUUUCUUGGGAGAUGUUAAAAAGCAAUUCAAGUACUAAGGGGUAGUGGUACUGGCCAAAAGUCAGGCAUGUUUAGUGUCAGUUGCAGUUCCCAUAAUAUAAUCCCAUUUUCAAUUAUUUAUAUACUGUAAACAUAGCUCGGUAAAAACAAGUUUUCCUUUUUUAGACUUGAACAAAGCUUCAGUUUCAAGAAGCAGCCCUAGGAAUAAAUACAGACAAAUCUGAAGCUGUUUCGCCCCAGUGUAAAACAUUCAUUCCUCCAUUAAUUGGUUGCAUCACAAACGUAUUCCCUAAACCUGACCCUCCAAGUAAAAAUAUGGAGAUGAAAGAAGAACAUGAUGACAAUAGGGCUAAUGCAGGUGUCACACAAGGCAAAUGUAUGCGUCUGCUGCAUGACCACCAGGAUUCCAUAUCUGAGCGCAGCUGCCACAGACAGUAUUUCUAUGCAUUCCUGCUAGCACUGAAUGCUGCUAUCACAGCAAUUACUAGGAUUUAAGCUGUAACUUAAAGUGAUCUAAACAAAAAUGGAGAGCAGUGAGGCGAAGUGUUUCACUUGCACUCAGCUUCAAAGCCAUUUCAUUUUUUAACCAACGAGUGAGUAUGUGCUAUUCCUACUACGCUCAUUAGAAUAGUUUUUUUCCUUAAGUUGGUCCAAUGAAAGAUAUUACCCCACCCACCUAGUCUUUCUAAUAUCCAUGGUCCAACACACAAGAAAAACACUGCAUAUAUUCCAAAGUAGGCAGGUACGCUCCUGUUAAAUUUGUUCACUAAGUGUUGCACACUCCCAGAGUUACUAAUUAGGUUUCAAUGGGAAACUUACAAGUUUUUACAAAACACUUAGAGAGUUCAUGUUGUUUAGUAGAAGCAUAUGAAUUUAAUUUUUUUUGGCAAGUCAGGUAAUGCAUUUAAAAAAGGAAAGACAUGCACAAUCUGUCCCUUGGGCAAAUUCUGCUCUCAGUUAUACCCAUUACACAUGUAAUCAGUUUGAAAUAAUUGGGAUUGCAAGGAUAUCAGCGAGGACAGAAUUUGGCGCACACACUUUAGAAGUACAUUACAUGUACAAAACAAAGCAUGCAUUAUGCAUCCAAUUAUACUCGGAUGGUGAAGAGAUUAUUUACAUACCUAGCUUUAAAAGUCUUUUUAGUUGUGGUUUAUAUCCACUUUAAAAAAAAAAAAUGGACUUAAUCCUGCAAUUUCCUCCACGUGGAACUCUCACAGAAUUCAAUGCAAGCAAUGUGUGCAAAGGGCUCACAGGAUUUGGACGGAUGUUUAUUAUUGUCUACCCUUUGUUCUUGGGUAAAUAAUGCCAAAUUUCAGUAAAAAUUAUUUUAGCUUGUUAGCAUAAAAACAGACAGACACUUAGUUUGUCCUUGUUUACCCAUUCUGUUGAAAGCUCUUUUAAAGCAAACAUUGGGUUAAGUGAAGUCUAUUAAUAAAUUACAGAACAAAGAAAAAGCAUUUUCUAGUUAAAGAAAUCCCAUAAACUUGUGUGAUUUUUUGUCUGAAAAUUACUAAAAACAGACAAAGGGGGGAGGGGGAAUCUCUUUUCCAUUUUGUACAUUUAUAAAACUUUAAGAACGUGAGUAGUUCCACAGAUAUGAAACCAUCCAUUCCCCACUCUUCCUUGCCUAUUUUCUCCUCUGUACACUUUGAAGUUAAAAGAAGCCCAGACCCUUCUCUACUUCUGCUGAACACUGCAUCUGAGCUGAGAGGGUACAUGGCUGUUGCUCUUUAAAGCACUAAUCCUAGCUCUCCUCACUGGCUUCUCCUACAGCCUGGCAACAAUCCUUGGGAGUUUAAGGAGCCGUUGGGCAGUUCUUCAGUUGAAGCUUGCUAUUGGAGAGGGUGAAAAGAUGGUAGAAAGUAGAGAAGGGCAGGCUGAGAACAGAGUCUAGCAGUUUCAAAAACUUCCCUUCCUUCAGGAUCCCAGCUCUUUCAGGCAACACUUUGUGGCCCUCUUAGAAAAUCUAACUUCGGUACCAACCCUAAAUCUCCUCUGAAGGCAAGACGAAUUUUGUCAGAGGGGCUGCAGGCUUGGCACUUUAAUUUUCAGCUGAAGGAGACACACAAACUGGCUGCUAGCAAAGGGUCAAUUAAGUUUAUGAGGAACAAGAAAAUGAAGAGGUUCAAGCAAUCUAAGCUGGCUUUAAAAAAAAAAAGUUUUAAAAAGGUAUAAAUAGUUGCCCUGUUUUCCUUAUCUCUUCACCAUGAACUGUUUUUCCAUCAUGGAAAGGGUCAUUGCUUUAUUAAAAAUAUAAAUUAGGUUUUAAAAUGGCUUUGCUUUUAAAUGUAAAAUGAAGGAGCCAUAGUCUAAUAGCUAUGGCAGGAUGUAUAUUAGCAUAGGAGAUUGAUGCACUUCUUGAGUCACUGAAGAUACAAAGCUCAUUCCAAGGCAGGCAUCAGUAUCCUACUAACACACUCCCAGUUGGUCUUUUAAUGUUAUGUGACCUUGCUUAUAAACAGGUGGAAAGCACAUUAACAUACCUCAAGUCCCAAAGAGUUUAUUUCAUUUUGAGGUUCACAAGGGAUUUUCCCCAAUUCUUUGGAGUCUACUUUCAUCAAAUAAAGUAGCCAUUUGCCACUGCUGAUUUCUUUUGGCCACUGGAUGUCCAAGGAAGCGGUGCCAAAUGUUUUAAGUGGUCUACCCAAGUUAGUUAUCUGUUAGGAAUACAAAAAUCCACAGAUUCUCUUAUAAACUAGAAUUUACAGCUACAGAUCUGCACUGACACUUGUUGAAGAAGGGUUUUUCUGGCAUUAAAAAAAAAAAAAUCACAGGAAAACACAAAUUCCAAGGAUACCAUACAUUUGGGAUUUGCCAAACAACUUUUGAUUGGAAAUAAAAGGUAGCAAACCUUCCUAAUUAUAGACAUUAUCACCGCAUAACAUUCUGGAUGAUCUAGUAGACAAUACUGUACAACAAAAAUCAGGAGAAACUAGAUUUGCUAAAGUUUUAUUUAAAAGUUCUAUUGAUAAAAAUAAAACUAGAGUAGUUGCAAGACUGAGUCGAUGAGAUCUGAACAGAAUACAAAAGGUGAAAAAGUAAGCAAAAAGCAUAUAUAAAGCCUGUGGCUGGCCUGGCUGAUAGCAGCCAUAUUUAGUGUUAAAAUGUUUUCCAGUGCAGGAACAAUUGGAAUGUCUGCUCCCUGGCCCAGUAGUCUCUGAAAACGUAAGUGGGAUCUAUUCUCCUGUAGGACAGGAACAGGAGCCAGAAUGUUCUGGCGGUAGCAAAAAUGUGCUCAGUUAUAGACAAGCAGGAGGAUUACAACUAUAAGGGAACAUCUGGUGCCACAGAAUUACACUUCUGUCCAUUUUGCUCCAGCAGUAUGAUAGUUGUUUUUUGAGUCAGAGAGCAAUGCUGCAAUAUCUAAAGCUUUGUCAUCACUGAGCCACAGAAACUACAAACCACACCAAGUAGUCUGCAUUACUGAAUCAGCUAUAUUUAAAGAGAGCUGCAGAAGGAAGUCUUCAGGAGCCCAAGGCAGGGACACAAAUGACAAAGAAAACGGAUCUAAGUGCUUCUGAACUUGAGACAUGCUCCUUUCCCUUCCCCUCAAGCACCUCUCUCCAACCCUCUGACAGAGACCAUGAAUGCACAAAUUAACAACCUUGUCAUGUGUCCACUGGGGCAUGAGGAGAGGAGGCCAGGAUUCCAGCUUCAAAACACACUACAGCCAGUCAGGAUGUGUUUUGGAAGGUGGGGUAAAAAGGGGUGGUUCUGGUGCAAGAGCAGCCAGUUUUGAGAAAAAGGAAUGGGCUACACUGAGCAAGUGUGGAGCACAAAUGUGUGGAUGGAGGGAAAUACAUGGAGCAAAAAUUUACAUUCCCAACACUGGAGAGCAUUCAGGAACCUGCAGACCAUUUGAGAUCCUUGUCUUAGUCAUUAAAAGGCAGAAAGCCAAGAGAGUGAGCUUACAGGGCCAUAUUUUCAAAAAGGGCUGCAACAAAGCUGGUUUGUGGACGCUCGGCUUUACGUGCACAAAUAUCUGCACACACUUUCUGAGCACUAACGCUGGGCAUACCAUUGAUGGGUUUUGUGUAUGUAAGUUUUGUUACCUGUAGGCAUGGAUGCUUAUGCUGGAAAAUUGUAGGUGCAGGGGACUGCACACAAACAAACGAAAGAUGCUUUUUGGAAGUGUGAACCUAAACUUUCAAGGCUGGAGGAAGCCCCAGUCUUGAUGGGCCAGUCAGGUUGUGUGUUGUGGAAGUGAGGAGGAGGUGGUUAAUGGUGAUGAUUCGGGUGCUAGGGCAGCCAUCUUCGAAUCAGCCAGAUUUUAAAAUAUUAACAUAAGUGUCAGAAAAAAAAUCAAUCAUGAUUUUUUAAUAAUCUAGAUCAACUCACUCUGAAUUCAUAUUCUAUUAUGUUUCCAACAUCAUCUUCAGAUUUCAUAGCACUCUCACCGAUUACGUUACCUCCAAAGUACACCUGGGAAGGCUUAGCAACUCUGUUCAAUUUUUUUAAAAAAAACAGAUCAUAUUUUAGUAUGGGUUGCAGCAAAGGGUUCAUUCUCACAUUGAUUUGUUAUGCUAACUAUAAACACUUACCCAGUGAGUGACAAAAGCAAUUCAAUAACCACUUUAGCAGUAGCAGUAAUUGGAGCCAAAUUAACUUGAUUGCUUGUUCUAUAAUGAAAAGGAAAUGGCAGUGUUUAUUUUAAAUUUUAACAGUUUUCACAUUACAAUAAAAUUGCCUUUACAAAACAAAUUGAAGCCAUUCCUUAAUGUUUACAAGUAUAUGGGAAAACACCAAGAGAAAAGGUAAAAACAGAAAAAUCUUACGUUUCCAACUUCAGAUUAAUAUCCAAAUCAGUUGUGUCAACAUUAACUUUAGUUGUACUUAAAAUCAGAUAAAAGGUUACCUAAACAAGAAAAAAAUCCACACAAUGUGAUGUUAGGUGAACAUAUUUUUGUGAGCACAAACUUUGUUUUAUAUGAAAAAAAAUACGUCAUAGAAUUCUGAAAUGUUGAAAACAAGGAUAGGCCCCAAGACAAACACCCUUGAACUUAGGGAAACUUCAGGACUAGGACCAGAAUCUAACUUCAUAUAUUAGGCCCAACUUUAAAUUAAAAAAAGAAAAAAACAAGCCACUCACAUUGGAAUUUCUCUUGAAAGGAUUUCCAAGUUCACACUCUGCUUGAGAACCAUUUUGAUUGGCACCACAAGUUAAUUGUUUUUCCUGAAUUAAAGAUGUGCAGAAGUCAAAACACAGUAAUGAUCACUAGGAAUAACAUCUGGGAACACAGAAUUAAGCAUCAUAUAACCAUCCACUAGAAGAGGAAACAGUGGACAUACUUCCCCCCUUCAUAUAGAGCAGUGGUUUUUAACCUUUUUUCAUUUGCAAACCCCUAAAAUAUUUCAAAUGGAGGUGCAGACCCCUUUGGAAAUCUUAGGCAUCGUAUGCGGAUUCCCAGGAAUCCACAGACCACAGGUUGAAAACCACCGUUCUAUGAUAAUGGCAACCUUUCACGGACCCCUUAGACAUAGUCUGCAGUUCACCAGGGGUCCGCAGACCACAGGUUGAAAACCACAACUGUAAGUUCAUUCAAUUGUGGAAGGAAAAGUGAAGCAAAAAUUGGCUUGCAACAGUGACAUCUCCAAGGCUGUUGCUUCGUAGCAGACUAGGCAUGGAGUUCAAAAAUCACUUUCCUGCCCCUCACACUCAGUCCCAUGGUAGAGUUCUCCAGGAAAAUAAAUUUAUAACAAAGUCCUCCAUAACAAUCCUUUUUCUAUCCACUAAGAACCGCAUUAAAUGCCCAAGGCUGUUUAGUUUUGGGGGAAUUCUGUGCUGCUGCAUACAUACAGAAUUCAUGGUCUCCACAGAUUUUAUUUUUUUUCCUUCACAGAAUAUAGAUCAGGGGUAGGCAACCAAUGGCAUGCAUGCCAAAAGUGGCACGUGAGCUGAUUUUCAGUGGCACUCACACUGCCCAGGUCCUGGCCACCAGUCCCGGGGGCUCCGCUGCUGGCCUGGAGUACCGGCCACUGGCCCUCUACCAGCUGAGGUUCCGUCCACCAGCCCUGCUCAGCCUGCUGCCGAUCUCUGCCACUGUUCCCAGGGGCUCCGCUGCUGGCCUGGGGUCCCAGCUGCCAGCCUGGGGCUCUGCAGCCACCCCCACUGUAACCCACUGGCACCAGC